rnacentral:rRNA from 1 species
CCUACGAGAGGCAGCAGUGGGGGAUAUUGCACAAUGGGGGGAACCCUGAUGCAGCGACGCCGCGUGGGUGAAGGAGUGCUUCGGCAUGUAAAGCCCUAUCGGCAGGGAAGAAGCAAGACGGUACCUGACUAAGAAGCCCCGGCUAACUACGUGCCAGCAGCCGCGGUAAUACGUAGGGGGCGAGCGUUAUCCGGAGUCACUGGGUGUAAAGGGAGCGUAGACGGCCAAGCAAGCCAGGGGUGAAAGCCCGGGGCCCAACCCCGGGACUGCCCUUGGAACUGCAAGGCGGGAGUGCGGGAGGGGCAGGCGGAAUUCCUGGUGUAGCGGUGAAAUGCGUAGAUAUCAGGAGGAACACCGGCGGCGAAGGCGGCCUGCUGGACCGCGACUGACGUUGAGGCUCGAAAGCGUGGGGAGCGAACAGGAUUAGAUACCCCAGUAGUC